GAUCACUCUUUCUGGAGUUUUUAUGCAAGCCUAAGAUAUGGUUAAAAAGAAAGGAAGGAAGGAAAAGAAGGAAGGAAGAAAGGAAGGAAGGAAAGGAAGAAAGAAAGGAUGCUGAUAAAACAGAAAACAUCUGAACAGCUGUAUGUUAUGGAGAACAAUUCAAACCCACUUGUUCAAGUAUACCUUUCCAAUGAGCAUGCCAUACUGUGUGUUGUGUAUAAGAAGGCACAGCAGGCAGUGAAGUGCUUAGAGCCCUCCCCUCCUCACUUUCUGAUUUGGAAGAUGUAUUUACAAAUCACAUUGUACAGGAGGCUUCCAGACUUUGAAUACCCGUAAGCAAGCAUUGACAUGGAAAAACACUGAAGAAGAUGAUGAAAUCCUACUUUCAGAAGUCUGAAACUGCUCAUCAUAAAACAAAGGAAAAAAAAAGGCUUCCUCAUUCAUAGUAAGAAAUAAACUUGCAGACCCACUCAGGACCACUGAAGUUCAAAAGAAAGUUUAGAGGCCUCACUGAAAAAACAUGCACUCAUACUACAGAAGAAAAUCGGUCCAAAAAUAGGCCCAAUAUGAU
ensembl:lncRNA